CACAUGAUGUAUAUUUUGAUGAUGAAUCUGCAGAGGUUGUAAUCUCCUCCCUUCGCCUUGGAGACGACCAAGAAAGUGGUUCGCUCUUUACAAAUUCCAAUUGGUUUGCAUUUGACGAGGACAAGGCACUGAAUGAUGGUUUGGUUAGCUCAGAAGCAUCCCCAUCUCCAAAUUCGGAAA